UUCUUUUGCACUGGUGUAGUCUUUUGCCGCAGUCUCUCCGCGACUCUAGUCUCCUCUUUUCGUGGGUGUAGGGUGCAGAUCUCUGUUCGCGUUUUCUCCUCUCCCAACACAAAACAAAGUUGCAGACCCGUUAUUCCUCGCAAACCAAUCUCUCUUCCUCUCACUUUGAAGCUUCUUCUUCUCUGCUUCAGAAAAAGAGGGCUUUCUGGUGCUUAAUUGGGGAUUUUGAGAUAAUGUUAAGGAAGAGGACCAGGUCAACUCAAAAGGAUCAAGAUCAACACCAAAUGGGGCAUAUGCCAAUUUCUAAUGCUCGGUCUGAGUCACAUUUCCGGUCUGAUGUUCUCGGACCGAAUCUGAAAAGCAAUUUUUUUUUCAUUGUCCUUGGUCUGUUUGUGGGGUUGAAUCCUAUAGGUUUAACAAAUUUUGAUUUAGUUAGGAGCCCAACUUCGCCUCUAGAUUUUAGGGUGUUUUUGAAACUAGGCAACCCCUUUAGGUCCCUAAGACCACCUCUUCAUGGGCAUAAGAGGAGCUGGGGUAGUAGUAAAGUAGGCUUAAGCAUCAUCGACUCUCCUGAUGAUGAUGAUGAUGUCAAGUUUUAUGGGAAAGUACCCAGAUCAUCGGAGAAGAAGAAGAAGAAGAUGAAGAAGAAGGAAAAAGAAAAAAAAAAGAAUUAACAAAAGAAAAGAUUUCCAGAUGCUAAAGCCGGUGAGGUUCCGAUUGCAAUUAUGUUGUUCGUGCACCCAAUAGCUUGCUAAUUGAACAAGACAUUAUAAUAUUUGUGGAGAAGAUGGUUGCACCGUUCAAAAGACUGCGGAGCAUAACUUUUGUAACCAGCGUUCCUAAGUCGGCUUCCGGAAAGAUUCUGAGAGGGGAGCUUAUACAGAAAGUCCGGUCAAACAUAUGAUUUUAGUGUGUCUUUACUCCUUUCCAAUGUAUUUUUGUUCAUUUCACUUAACAAUAUGAGCGUAUGCUAUCAUAGGACUCAUCCAGUUUGACUUUUCUUU